CUCUCUCUCUCUCUCUCUCUCAAGCAACGAAGACUUCGAAAAGAAAAAAGUAACGAAGACGGCCACAGGAGUAAGGUUCCAUUGCAAAUACAGGGAAACUUCUCUUACCAAAUAAAUAAAUAAAAAUUUCUUUUGCUGUGUCUAGCGAGUGGCUUCUGCUCUUCCUCUCUGCAAUACACCUUGACCUUGCUUCCUUUCACUACCGACACUUACAUUGUAUAUUCAGUAUCCUCUGUAUAUUCAAUAUCCUUCUAUUGUAUUAUCCCAUUUAUUUCACCAAUUCCCUCUAACAAACAGAGUGAGCUACUACCCAAAAAGUACGGAUAUUGGGAUCUAAACUUCGCUUGUUUGGCUUCUUGUGGACAGUGGAUUGCAUGGUGCGACAUUAUUUUUGUACAAUUGGGCGGUUACCACUGCAGUGCUUUGAAGAUUUGAGUCUCUAUUUUUCAUAAAUAACGAGUCUUUAUUCGGAAUUUGGGGAAUUCAAGAUCUGGGUGGGUUUUGUAUUGAUCGGAAAUGGGUAGCUCUGGGGAGAAGGUUGUGGCUGUGAUUAUGGUCGGUGGACCAACUAAAGGGACUCGAUUCCGGCCAUUGUCAUUGAAUGUCGCCAAGCCUCUUUUUCCUUUAGCUGGACAACCAAUGGUUCACCAUCCAAUAUCUGCUUGCAAAAGGAUUCCGAACCUAGCACAGAUCUAUCUUGUCGGUUUCUAUGAGGAACGGGAAUUUGCAUUGUAUGUUUCAUCAAUCUCGAACGAGCUUAAGGUCCCUGUGAGAUAUCUGAGGGAGGAAAAGCCACAUGGUUCAGCUGGUGGGCUUUAUAACUUCAGAGACCGAAUCAUGGAAGACAGUCCGGUUCUUAUCUUAACCUCUGACUUUAGUAUUUUUAUUUUCCAUUUUGCAUCUUGAUCUCUAAUGAUUUGAAUAUGCGUGAAUUUUACGCUUUCUAGACUCCAGAGAUUAGAACUAGACAUUUUUUUACUUUGAACAUUCGCCAUGAUGCUUGAUUAUCCUUUUGCAGUCUCAUAUAUUCUUGUUGAAUUGUGAUGUUUGCUGCAGUUUUCCACUCCAAGAAAUGCUUGGUAAUCAUCCUCUUCUGUCAACAAAAUAUCCUUUUUCUACAAUUGAUUUGCAUGUAUUGUUUAAUUCUUCUUCAAAAUAUCAUGUACUAUCAAUCUUCAAGGCAAUUAUUUUUGAGGUUGUGAUAGUUUUGUUAUGCUCAUAGUUGAACUUAGAAACAUCUUCUAUGUUGCAAGGUCAAUACUUUUUAGUUUACAUUUGUUUUGCAGAAGUUUUAAUUUCUGUUUUGUUUUAACGUUUGCAGAGGCUCAUAGAAGAUAUGGUGGGAUGGGAACCAUUCUAGUAAUCAAGGUUUCUGCUGAGUCAGCCAGCCAGUUUGGUGAAUUGGUAGCUGAUCCAGACACCAAAGAAUUGUUGCAUUACACAGAGAAACCAGAAACUUUUGUAUGUAAAAGCUUGGAGACUCUUUAGAUAUUUAACACAAUGUCAAACUUUUGGUGUUGCUUAGAAUGGUCCACUUGAUUCAACCUUUUACAUUUGCUUUUUGAGAAAUGAUUUACGGAAUUUUCUUUUCCUUUUUGUUAUAAAAUCAACCAAGACAUUAUAUCACUGUGUUUCGAGUUUCAACAAGUCAUCCUUUUUUCUACAAAUUUUCUGUUAUUUAAAAAGGAAUUAUCUUAACACAUGACUAUUACUUUUGAUUUUCUCUUCUUGGGAAAAAAAAGAAGCAACAAUCUGUAGUAUUUAUAAUAUUUACUCCCAACAGUUCUCCUUAAUUCUUCCCUUUCUUUCUUUAUCUCUUUACUUUUUUCAUGUUAUGUUGCUAUGCAGGUAAGUGACCUGAUAAAUUGCGGUGUGUAUGUGUUUACACCAGAUAUAUUUACAGCCAUCCAGGGUGUUUCUUCUCAAAGGAAAGACAGAGGUUAGAGAUACUGGCUGUGUUCAUAUGACAAUGAUAAGGAAUUAAGUUAGAAAGUUUCCAGAAUCCUGUAGCACACAAGCAUAGAUUGCUCAAUAAUUAAGUGUUGGUUUUAAUGAAUGAGCCUUUGAUUUUUCAUUCUGAAAUAUGCAUCAACUAAGAAUUUCAACAUUCUUCUUGUUGUGUUGAUUAUGUAUAUAUAAUUUAUUGCAUCCCUGCUAACUAUACAUAUUGUUAGAAUCCCUUGGCACAUAAUCUUUUUUCUGUGUAACUAUUUUGCAGCUAAUCUUAGACGUGUUUCCAGCUUUGAAGCACUUCAAUCAGCCACAAGGUAUGCCCAUUCCUGUCCAACUUUUUGUCCUUGUGGAAUUGAUGCCUCUGAGUUGAUUAAUACAUUUUUAGUAUAUAUAAUCUUGAAAAUAUCAACAAAUUUAGGUGCAGCACAUGUGACAUAUUAUGCAUUUUGCCUUUAUUCCUAUAUCUCUAGCAUCAAGUGGGUAGUAAUUGAAGCAACUGAAAUAUAUAUGUGAUUAUCCGAAGUAUCAUUUUUGGGUCCAUUGGAAUCAUACUGUCAAAUAGAGAUUUUUUUUUUUACCAUCUUUUGAUUGUAUCCUUACCAUUAGGGUGUUAUUAGACUGUAAAUCCAACUGGGAUAUAGGUUUUGACCGGGCUAGUAUGAAUUUUAUUGCUUAAUAUAUAAUGCAAAUGUAGUAGUAAAUUUUCCAUUUGGCUUGGAACAGUUCAUAAGCUAAGGCCAUCUCUUGAUGUAGAAAUUCAUCAAAAUCCUUGGGAUUUUUUUAAUUCAAAUUUUUGUUAGGGUCAUUUGAAUAGGUGAACAUUUGAAAUGGCAAUGCAUUUGGAUUUCUAUACAAGCGAAAAUCAAUAAGUAUCAACAUAAUGUCAAAUACAAAUGGAGCCUAACAGUAUUGCUAUUGUUCAAUUUUGGAAUUAAUAGAACUCACUGUUCAACUUCUUGUUCUCAUACAGGAGCCUUCCCACAGAUUUUGUGAGACUGGAUCAAGAUAUCCUGUCACCACUUGCAGGGAAAAAGCAGCUAUAUACAUAUGAAACAAUGGAUUUCUGGGAGCAAAUUAAAACUCCUGGGUAUGCCAAACUAUUUAACAUGGUAAGUUUUAUGUUGUUUUUCCCUUCAGAGCAGUCAUGUGACCUUUUCCCAAAUCAAUACUUGCAGAAUGUCCUUAAAAUGCUCUGCUUUGUAUCUUGCUCAAUUCAAGUACACCUCCCCACGUCUUUUAGCUAGUGGAGAUGGCUCAAAGGGUGCCACAAUUAUUGGUGAUGUUUUUAUUCACCCAUCGGCAAAAGUACAUCCAACUGCUAAGAUUGGUCCCAAUGUCUCAAUAUCUGCUAAUGCCCGAAUAGGACCAGGUGCAAGGCUCAUCAGUUGUAUCAUCCUAGAUGAUGUUGAAGUCAUGGAAAAUGCAGUUGUUAUUCAUGCUAUUGUUGGGUGGAAGUCCUCCAUCGGGAGAUGGUCUCGGGUCCAGGCUGCAGGAGAUUUCAAUGCCAAACUUGGGAUUACAAUCCUUGGUGAAGCUGUUAGCGUUGAAGAUGAAGUCGUGGUGGUUAACAGCAUUGUUCUUCCAAACAAGACGCUCAAUGUUAGUGUUCAGGAGGAAAUAAUCUUGUAGUGGACGUGGAUAUAGAUCCCACAUCUAUUUUCGGCAUCUCUCAAUCUCUCUCUGUGCAGUACUGUAAUGUUUAUUAAUUUACUUUUCUUGAUGUAGAAAGUCAAUAUUUGUGGACUUGUUACCAACUUGUAAACUGACAUCCACAAAUUGUAAUGAGGAAAUUUGAUUGUUUGCUGUCACGCGUCUCUAGUCAAUUAUUGG
rnacentral:misc_RNA from 1 species